AUUGUAUCUACCUAUGCAUCCUUCUGUUUUACUUUACAUGCAAUCACAUCCUAUUUUUUUUGAAGGGGGAAAUAAUUAAUUCAGAACAAUCAUAGAAAAAAAUCCCAAACUUCACUUUUUAAUUUAAAACCCUGCAAUUUGUGAAAUGCUGUGGUAAUGUUAUACAUAAGCUUGCUCAUUUGCAUUAAUAUUACUUUAAUCUUCUUAAGGUAUUAGAAAAAGUAAUUGCAUUAUAGAAGUAAUGAUGUCAAAGUAGCUAUAGAAUACUUUUUAAAAUGUGGGAUUAUUUUCAAUGUUUUAUUGUUCUUCCAUCUAAAUGAUUUGGGGGGAGUAAUAAUUUUUUUCAUGGUUAGCCAUUUUCAAUGUGAUGAUUUCUACUACCUUUUUUACUUACUAGUUCUGUCACUGACUCCAUCUGUUUCCCCUAUCAGUUUCUUUUUCUACUGAAGCUAGCGUUUUUGUUUUGUUUUGCAAAGAUUGAUCCAAGGCCACAUACAUGCUAGGCAAGUGCUAUUCCAUUGAACACACCUUACCCCUUGCUCCCUGUCACUCAUCUCUUCUUAUUCUUAGCCUUUAGACUGUGUGGUGCAAAACCUGUGAAUACAUUGAAAUUUUCUUGCUUUCUUUUUUCUCUUUUAAAGGAACUUUCACCUAUCUGCUGCUCUUAUCAUCAUGUAACCUUAAUCCAUUGCCCUGAUGAAUCACAGAUUAUUUAUUUUUUCAACAUUAAUCUCUUGUGGACUUUUCAUACACAUAAGGCUAUAUAUUUUUUUCCCAUUUUUUUAUAGAUUCUUUACAAAAGAGUGUGUUCGUCAGGUAUAUGUUACAUUAUAUAUUAUACUAUCACAGUAUUGCAAUAUAUACCACAUGUACAUACUUAUGCUUUUUCUUAUUGCAUAUAGCUAAUAAUAGCUAUUAUGUGGAAGGUUUUGUCUAGACUCUUGUCCCUAAUUUUAAGCUGAUUCCUUCUUUAUGUCUUUUAUUUAUGUUGUGUUACAUUUGAAACCCAGUAAUUCAAGUUUCAAACUGACCAAAAACUUCCAUUUAGAGAGUAUAUUCUGAAAUCCCUCUCCUUUUUUUUUUAAACUUUGUAUUAUUCUGGGUGUGUAUAUAUGUGUAUGCUGGAUAUUCAGUUUGGAACUUAAUGUAUAGUAGCAAGUUGUUUAGUAUAGAUUUAUAAUUAAAACAUUACAGUAUUUCUCCUUUAUUUAAGAGAGUCAUACACCUACAUUGGUUAUUUCAUGUUUCUCACAAAUACUUCUGCUUUUCCAUUUAUACCCCUGUGAUAGUUAACAGAUUAUUAACUGAACCUUGGUCUAUUCAAAGAGCAGGACUGUAAAUAAGACACUGUCAUACCAUUAUUGAACAUGUACAAACCAUUGUAGCCUAGAGUUACCAGAGAAUCCAAGAGCUAUAUUUUGAAAGUCUUAAACAUACUGUUAUACAACUACAAAUAUUCCACACAAUGCACUACAAUAACAGGUCACAAUGUGCUAUUAAAUUUCUGUGAGCAUAUUUGUUCUUCACAUAUACUUACAUGUCUAUAAAUCCCCUAGAUUUGAUAUCAAAUCCAUGUCAAGAAAUCAAUAUGUGAGAUUUUUAUUUGUAAGAUUAAAUACAGUUAAAAAUCACUUAAAGUUUUAAAC
rnacentral:lncRNA from 1 species